UACGUAGGGUGCAAGCGUUAAUCGGAAUUACUGGGCGUAAAGCGUGCGCAGGCGGUUAUGCAAGACAGAGGGGAAAUCCCCGGGCUCAACCUGGGAACUGCCUUUGUGACUGCACAGCUAGAGUACGGUAGAGGGGGAUGGAAUUCCGCGUGUAGCAGUGAAAUGCGUAGAUAUGCGGAGGAACACCGAUGGCGAAGGCAAUCCCCUGGACCCGUACUGACGCUCAUGCACGAAAGCGUGGGGAGCAAACAGG
rnacentral:rRNA from 1 species